GGAGGAAACCAUUAGUGGUUAAGUCAGAGAGAGGAAGCCAGCCUCCUGGAAGGCAAUUUUUUUAGCACUCUGUGCUGCAGAACGCCAAGUCAAUGUAACUUACUGAUGGACUUGAUUUACUGCUGAGGAUAAAUCCUAAGCCAGGCCAGCUUCUAUUAAAUUGGAUCACCAUGAUUGCCAGGUCAACAUGUAUUAUCUUCUUGGCUGUGACUUUAAGCAACCCUGGAUGGGCUCAAGAGCUCAACCAACCAGGAUCUACUGCAGCAUUUGAAGAACAACCACACACCCUGAGCUGCAACCUCUCUUCUGAAUCAAAGGAUGUAAUCCAGUGGUACCAGCAUUUUCCAGGAGAAGGGCUUCGGUAUAUUGCUGGUGCAAUCCCAGGGAAUCCUGGUGAAGGGGCUGAUCCAAAGAGCACAGUGUACGUUGGCCAGGACAAGAAAUCCAGCACACUUGUUCUCCAUCGGGUGAAGCUGGCAGAUGCUGCUGUCUACUACUGUGCUCUGAGUGACACAGUGUGUCAGGGAGGGGCUGUUCCUGUGCAAGAACGCUUCUCAGGGCCUGAGCAGAGAAGGAGCUAAGGCAGGGAGGAGGAGGCAUGGGAGAUAAGUCAACAGAGAACAUGCAAGAGAAGCAGGCAUAGCAAUGGGGUUCACAGUGUGUAUUCUUUAUGAGCUGGGAAAUCAAAUUCCAUCAAAGCUCAAGGAGUUGAGACCAUCACCAUUCACUUAACUUUGAACCAAUCUGAAAUAUGGAGAUUUGAUGCUGAACUUACUUGCAAUGCUAGAAUGACUGAACGUUGCUCGCUGGGAGAGCAUGAAUAACGUUCCAGGUUCAAUCCCUGGAUUUCUUUCUUUCUUAUUUUCAAUCCUUAUUUCUGAAUUUUUCACAAAGAAAGAAAAACUUUACAAAUUUUAACAUAAACCAUAAAAGUUGCUUUGUCAAUUGACUUCCCAUCCUCCCCUUCCAUCGUUUCCAUAUUUACCCUUAAAUGCUGCAUAUUUCGCUAUACUGUUCAAUACAUUCAAUUUAACCAUUUUUUCUUAAUAAUUCAUGCAGUUGCUCAUAUUUCAAAUCCUGCUCACGUUUUCAUCUCACUAUAGCAGUUCUGUAAAUACUCAAUAAAAAGU